rnacentral:rRNA from 1 species
GUGGGGAAUCUUGCGCAAUGGGCGAAAGCCUGACGCAGCCAUGUCGCGUGAAUGAUGAAGGUCUUAGGAUUGUAAAAUUCUUUCACCGGGGACGAUAAUGACGGUACCCGGAGAAGAAGCUCCGGCUAACUUCGUGCCAGCAGCCGCGGUAAUACGAAGGGGGCUAGCGUUGCUCGUAAUUACUGGGCGUAAAGGGCGCGUAGGCGGACAGCUUAGUCAGAGGUGAAGGCCCAGGGCUCAACCUUGGAAUUGCCUUUGAUACUGGCUGUCUUGAGUUUGGGAGAGGUGAGUGGAACUCCAGGUGUAGAGGUGAAAUUCGUAGAUAUUCGGAAGAACACCAGUGGCGAAGGCGACUCACUGGCCCAAUACUGACGCUGAGGCGCGAAAGCGUGGGGAGCAAACAGGAUUAGAAACCCUGGUAGUCC